rnacentral:rRNA from 1 species
GACGAACGCUGGCGGCGUGCCUAACACAUGCAAGUCGAGCGGACAGACCAUGCUCUUGCGGGGCGCUCGUGUGGCGAACGGGUGAGUAAAACGCGAGUAAAACGCACCUGACAUUGGGAUAAAAUCUGGGAACAGGGGAUAAAAUAGGGUAGGAGCUCUUGCUGCAUGGUGGGGGAUGGAAAGUUUCGGCGGUUUGGGAUGGUAUAGCGGGUUAUCAGCUUGUUGGUGGGGUAGUGGAUUUCAAAGGCUUUGAAGGGUAGCCGGCCUGAGCGGGGGACCAGCCACAUGAGGACUGAGGGACGGCGCAGUCUCCUAUGGGAGGCAGCAGUGGGGAGUAUUGCACAGUGGGGGGAAGCGUGAUGUAGCAACGCUGCGUGCGUGAUGACGUCCUUCGGGUGGUAAACCGCUUUGUCAUGUGACGAAGCGUUAGUGACGGUAAUGGGUAAAGAAGCACCGGCUAACUACGUG